UUUUGAACUCGAUUUUAUUUCAGGACAUAAAUAAUCUUGAUUGCAGUAUUCUCUACACACAGCACAAGGUUACAGCAUAUGCUCAUAAAUAUAUCUCAUACAAUACAAUUUAAGGUUACAAUGUUUUCUCACAAAUAUAUCUCAUACAAUACAAUACAAUACAAUACAAUUAAAGUGUAGACAUCAUGUAGAUUUUCUGAUGAAAAUAAAUGUAUGCAUUUAGCUACAAAAAUAAAUUGGAUUUUUUUCAUAAAUGAUUAACAUGAAUGGCUACAGACUUGCUGUAGUUUCUAUGAAAUGAGUGGAACCACACAUUAGGCUGAGAGGAAAGAAAGUCUGCAUCCCAAAUGGCACCCUAUUCCCUAUAUAGGGCACUACUUUAGACCAGAGCCCUAUGGACCCAUGUCAAAAGAAGUGCACUAUAAAGGGAAUAGGGCGCCAUUUGGGAAGCAGUCAAAAUAAGAACCUCAACAAGCAGCAUAUCAACACCACUAAUACAUUCCUAUUCAUUUGCAUAAUUCACACAACCCAUGAAGAAACAACUUCUUCCACAGAAUCACCACAUCCAAUUGACAAUUUACCUUCAGAGAUGAAACAGUAUGAGACAGUAUGAGACAGUCAGACAGUAUGAGACAGUACGAAGCAGGAUGAAACAGUAUGAAACAGUAUGAGACAGUCAGACAGUAUGAGACAGUAUAUGAGACAGUACGAAGCAGGAUGAAACAGUAUGAGACAGUCAGACAGUAUGAGACAGUAUAUGAGACAGUACGAAGCAGGAUGAAACAGUAUGAAACAGUAUGAGACAGUCAGACAGUAUGAGACAGUAUAUGAGACAUGAAGACACAGGAUGAGACAGUAUGAAACAGUAUGAGACAGUCAGACAGUAUGAGACAGUAUAUGAGACAGUACGAAGCAGUAUGAGACAGUAUGAAACAGUAUGAAGCAGUAUGAGACAGUAUGAAGCAGGAUGAAACCGUAUGAGACAGUAUGAAGCAGUAUGAGACAGUAUGAAGCAGUAUGAAACAGUAUGAAGCAGUAUUACACAGUAUGAGACAGUAUGAAGCAGUAUGAGACAGUCAGACAGUAUGAGACAGUAUGAAGCAUUAUGAGACAGUAUGAAGCAGUAUGAGACAGUAUGAAUCAGUAUGAAGCAGUAUGAGACAGUAUGAAGCAGUAUGAGACCGUAUGAAACAGUAUGAGACAGUAUGAAUCAGUAUGAAGCAGUAUGAGACAGUAUGAGACAGUAUGAGACCGUAUGAAACAGUAUGAGACAGUAUGAAGCAGUAUGAGACAGUAUGAGACAGUAUGAAGCAGUAUGAGACAGUAUGAGACAGUAUGAAGCAGUAUGAGACAGUAUGAAGCAGUAUGAGACCGUAUGAAACAGUAUGAAGCAGUAUGAGACAGUCUGAGACAGUAUGAAGCAGUAUGAGACAGUCUGAGACAGUAUGAAGCCGUAUGAGACAGUAUGAAGCAGUAUGAGACAGUAUGAAGCCGUAUGAGACAGUAUGAGACCAGUAUGAAGCAGUAUUAGACAGUAUGAGACAGUAUGAGUCAGUAUGAAGCAGUAUGAGACCGUAUGAAGCAGUAUUAGACAGUAUGAGACAGUAUAUGAGACAGUACGAAGCAGGAUGAAACAGUAUGAAACGGUAUGAAGCAGUAUGAGACAGUAUGAGACAGUAUGAACCAGUAUGAACCAGUAUGAGACAGUAUGAAGCAGUAUGAGACAGUGUGAAGCAGUAUGAGACAGUAUGAAACAGUAUGAGACCGUAUGAGACAGUACAGAAUAUUGCACAGAAUCUAUACUAGCUAUAGCUAUGGAAAUACCUCUAGAAAUAUUGUAUGGUAAACAUAUCCGUCUCAAGUUUAAAGGCACGGACAAACCGGUAGCGUUUGCCAGCCGAGAGAACCUAGCACCUCUAGACAGAUUGCCAGCCGUAAUUUGCAAACCGACAUUAAAGUGCCUGUCAUCCUUUAGACCAGGGGUCUCCAAUCCUGUUCCUGUAGGUUUAUAUCAGGGCUCUCCAACCCUGUUCCUGGAGAGGUACCCUCCUGGAGGUUUACAUCAGGGCUCUCCAAC
ensembl:lncRNA